rnacentral:lncRNA from 1 species
AGAAAUCUUCCAUUCACCUUCUGAUCCUCACCGAUCUUGCGGUGUACAUGUAUAGCCUCAGAAACUCAGCCACGACCAUAAACACAGGAUUGAAAAAGCAUGCAGGAAAUACAAAAAGUUGAGCGAUUAAAUAAAAUUAUUUACAGACGACACAGAUUAGGAUUGACGGGGAAGUGUGGAACCAGAAUUGACACCACCGGAGAUUCAGAAUUCAGUGGCUGCCUCAGGCUGCUCGCCGUGUCACCUCCUGCUGCUGUUGCUGCUGCUGAUCCUUCGACACAGACACGAGAACGAUGAUGAAGGCAGCAACAGAUGAAAGACAAAAACCCCAUGAUAUCCUCCUGAUGGACCUGACCUCUCUCUCUCUCUCUCUACAAAUUUUUAACAUUCAAUUUGAGUGUUGCAAAUAGCAAUAGGAUCAUCAUUUUAACAAGGUGACUUUUGACUUUGUUGGCCUUUUCCAUUUUCACUAAUCAAUGCUAGACUGUGAGUCGCAAGUAAAUAUUACCCUCCCUUUCUGGUUCCAUUUACAAAUGCACCACUUUAAUCCUAUCCUUAGAAAAUGAAAAGCUAAUAAAAACACUCAAAAUUGGGCCAUCUUAAUAUUAUGGACAACAAAAUUUAGUUAAUCGACGGCCUGGAUUAAUUUGAAGGAUUUUUUUUUUUAAAAAUACAAAUUUUUUAAACCACACACUUAACAAACUUAUAAAGUUCAACCAUCUUUUUCGUUCGUCUUUUAUUUAAUUAUGCUUGUAUGUGAUGCUAUGCUUUGAUUUGUAUUUAAAGUUAAAUUAUCGGAAUUAAAUACGGAGUUUUACUUUUAAAAUACAAACAUACUAACUACGCAAUUACAAGGCAUAAAACAUAAAAAUAUAUAUUUGUUAAUAGCCUUUGCCCUUGCGGUUACCCUUCAUUUUGCUUAAACGGAUGGACUUGCACAAAGACAAUUGCAGUUUAGAGUGAAUAGUAAAGAUAAUUUCACCGACCUUACUUUUGCCUUGCUCUUGCUUAAAACGGGUGGAGAUGCCUUGAUGACAAAGCAAAAGAGAUAUCGAGGAGUAAAAGGAAACAACAACAUUCCACAAUAAAAAAAACAGUGCCAAAUGUCAUCCACUUUCAGAAAUAGUGCAAAUAAUUGUAACUUUUCGUUUUGUUGAAGUAAAAUUCACAUUUACAUCUUCACGAAAUAUAAAAUGUGACCAGCAUAUGAUUUUUACAUUUUAAAUUUGCAGCUCGCAUGCGAAAUGCUCUAAGGAGGAACUUCGUCAUAAACACAGUAAUUUUGUGGAGUCGAGCAAAAUUUUUUUAUCUAGUGUUAAACUCAAAGAACACGUUGUAUAAAGUUUAUCCAAAGGAGUGCGAAAAGACGACGAGCAAAAGGUUGGGAAUAUAUCUAACAUCCAAUACUAGUUGCAAUGUUUUGUAAUUCGGUACUUAGCAAGUUUGUUCUUUAAAAAUAAAAUUUUGUAUUUAGCUCCGAUAAUUUAACUUUAAAUAUAAACCAAAGCAUAGCAUCACAAACAAGCAGUUAUAAAAAAAAAAACAAUUACCACGUGGCAGAAACCCAUUGCCACACCCAAAUUUCUUGGGCCAUUAUUGGCCGUUGAUUGAGUAGACAAGUGAUGGGAGGACAGAAGAAACUCAAAGUUCGAGGGUUCCAGAAACUCCGACGAUGGCAGGGAUUGGCUCUUGCUGUACAACUCUAUCCUCCACAACUUUGGCUGUAUUUCUGGAGAUGUAAUCUUCCUCUUAGCUGAUGUCCAGUUUUAUGUUUCUGGACCUUUGGAUGGACGUCUUGAAUAAAUUUUCCAUUUCGUACUGUUGGAUUGUUGUUAGUAAUUAAGUUGCAAAAACAUAUUGUUUUAUACGAGAGUUUUUCAAAAUUUAUGACACGUUUUGAUUCCGGUUCUUGUGAGUUAGUAAAAAUCGCAACUAGAAUAAAACAUGUUCUCUUUCUGAUUCGAAGCAUUUAGCAAAUAUCUCGACGCAAUUCCUUGGGUUGAUUCUCUUAUAUUUGUCAAGGAAAUAAACUCAUGAUUUUUAUUAAAUCCCUUUUAAUUUGCUAAACAGGUGUGUCUAUUUCUAUGUGCAAAAUAAACAGAUUAUAGAAUGUGAGAUAUGGAUUCGUAUCCAUUGUCUAUAGAAAAAAAGUGCGAAUGCAACAUUGUUUAUAUUCUCGAAUGCUAUUUAGACAUACAAAAUUGACGACAUUGAUAUGACAUUCUAACACAGGCUAAACAACAUUAGUCGUUUCAUUUCCAUUCUUAAACUUCUGCUCUAUGAACCAAAUGAUUUUUGUCUUUAUUUUUAGUAGAAAUGGUAUUUUACAGUAAUCUACAAUAAAAGGAGGGGAAAGGUUUGAAUCUAGAACAAUGUGAGUUGAAAAUGAAGAUCCUAACUAUCAGGAACCAGUUUUCGUUUCUCAUUUUUGCCUUCUUCCUGGGAAUGACAGUGAAAUUAAACAUAUAUACCCAAUAUUUAAAGGGAAAGAAAGAAUCUUCCAUUCAUCUUCUGAUCCUCACCCAUCUUACGGUGUACACCUAUAGCCUCAGAAACUCAGCCACCACCUUACACACAGGAUCCAAAAAGGAAAAACAAAAAGUUGACCUAUUAAAUAAAAUAAUUUACAAACGAGAGAUAUUAGGGUUGACGGGGAAAUGCGGAACCACAAUUGGCACUACCGGAGAUUCAGUGUUCAGAGGCUGGCUGCUGCUCACUGUGCUACCUCCUCCUCCUCCUCCUGCAGCUGCUGCUGGCCCUUCGCCGCAGACACGAGAACCAUGAUGAAGGCAGCAACAGAUGAAUGACAAAAAUCCCAUGAUAUCCCCCUGAUGGACCUGAUCUCUCUUGAUUCUCUCUCUGUAGAAAUUUUAUACAUGUAAUCUGAGUGUGCAAAUAGCAAUAAGAUCAUCAUUUUAACGUAAUAUAUAGAUAAUAUGUUGCGUUAAUAACAAGGUAACUAUUUUUAAUUACCACAGGGUGCACCAAUGGCUGGGGUAAAUUUUAGGUUUGUAUUUCACACGACACAUCUUGAAUUUGAAUAUUAGUAUUGGUGAAUCGUACGAUGAUGGCCAAAAGGAUGUUAAAAUGUAUCUAUUAAUCUUUUCGGCUUCUGAAAAAGUAGACUGUCAUAAAAAAAUCACCGACAAAUUUAAAAAAAAUAAAAAUAAAUAACAAGGUAACUUUUGUCUUGUUGAUCUUUUCCAUUUUCACAAGUAAAAUGCUAGACUGAGCAGGUCACAAGUCAAUGAAAAGCUAAUGAAAACACCGAAAGCAGGCCCUCUCAAUAUUAACGACAACAAAAGUUUUUUGGAUAAGCAUCGUCUGCCCUCCUAGUUGUGCCCUUUCAUACCCUCCUAUUUUGUGCGAUCACGUCAAGCCACGUUAAUAUUUUAUAUUAAUUUUUAAUAAAAUAAUAAGACAAAAAAUAAUAAAAAUAUAAAAUAUUAACGUGGCUUAACCGUGACCGUACAAAAUAGAAGGGCAUGAAAGAGCAUCACAACUAGGAGGGCAGACAAUCCUUAUCCUUAUUUUUUAACGUGGAUGUCACUUAAUAAUGUUUCUGAACGUCGAUGUCACUACUGGUUCUUUUUCCUCCUCGUGCUGCUGACUGUUCUGCUUAGUCUUCAUACUCCAUUACUUUUUGAAGAAAAAAAACGCUCUUACCACUUGCUUUGGUGUACGAAAGAAAUUUCAACUUUAUGCUCAAAGAAGAAUUUGGCAUAAAAACUUUGGACAAUGAUUGUCUGCCCUUCUAGUUGUGGUGUCCUUCCAUGCCCUCUUAUUUUGUGCGAUCACGGUUAAGCCACGUCAAUAUUUUAUAUUUUUAUUGUUUUUUGUCUUAUUAUCUCAUUAAAAAAUUAAUAUAAAAUAUUGACGUGGCUUAACCGUGACCGCACAAAAUAGAAGGGCAUGGAAGGGCGCCACAACUAGAGGGCAGACAAUCCUUAUCCAAAAAAUAAUGCAAUUAACUGUAAUUUUUUGUUAGAGUACAAUCAUAUUUACGUAGAUUUUUAUAUUUAAAAUAUGCAGCUCCCUUUCGAAAUGAUCUAAGUAGGAAUUCCGUCAUAAACACAGUUACAUGAAACGGCUACAAGAUAUUUUGGAAAUUACGUAACAAUUUUAUGGAGUUAAGCAAAUUUUUGUUGGAUAAUGUUAGGAUGGUCAAAAUUUUAAAUCAAAUUUGUAAAAUAAAUAAUGUAUUACCAAUAAAAAGUAAGUACAUUAAUUAACAAUUAAAUGAUAAUUCAAUUAUCAACAAACACAUCAUUUAAUUUACAAAAUUCAAUUUAAAAUUUUGAUUUUCCUAAAAUUACUUUUUUUUUUUAUAAAUCUGGUGUUAAACUCAAAGAACAGGUUGUAUAAAAUUUAUCCAAGAAAAAGACGAAAAGCAAAAGGUUGGAUAUAUAUCUAAUAUCCAAUACCAGUUGCCACGUGGCAGAAACCCAUUGCCACACACAAAUUUCUUGGGCCAUUAUUGGCUGUUGAUUGAGUGCACAAGUAACUGGGGAGAGAAGAAACUCAAAAGAUUGAGGAUUCCAGAAACUCCUUCGAUGGCAGGGAUUGGCUCUUGCUCUACGACUCUCUCCUCCACAAGGUAACUUAUUCCCUGUCUUUCUUUGUUUUCGUGUUGGAAAGACUGCAUUUUUACUAGGAAAAGUUCCUACUCUGAAUACUCUCUCGGAUUCUCGAUGGCGGGUUUUCUUGUUUGGUUGCUGAGAAAAUGUAGAAAAGUAAGAUUAUUGAACAACUAACAGAAUCUUUUGCUCUUUUGAAGCAUUAUGAGAUACAGAAAUACGUUCAACUACUCAUCUAGCCAGAUGUGUCUUUAGCUUGUUUUUAUACCACAUUUGAUGUGAACAAUCACAUUUGAAUUAAUCAGAUUUUUAAAUUUAGUUCAUUAUUUAAUAAACUAAUAAUUAAGAAAAACUAGUUAAUUAAAUGAUGAUUGUGGUAUACGAUGAGUCUUUUUCCUUCAUUUCCUUAGAUUUUGCAAAAUUUUUAAAUAAUGUGGCUGUCCACAUCAGAUGCACAAGGUAGUAUAGAAAUGUGGUAUUAAAACAUGGUAUAAAUAACAUUACUCUUUCCUAUAACCAAAAACGUUUAUGAUGGCGCUUAGUAGGAAAAGCUAAAAGUGAUUAUGACUUCUGGAGAAUCACCAAGUUCCAAGUGCUUUUCAGAAAAGCGCAUGUUGGAGAAUAGAAUCCCACAUCGGAAACUUCACAUAGGAAAAUUACACCUUACAUUGUAUGGUUCCAUUUCUAGCUAGUUGCACAGAGGCCAACAGCUGCCCAACCGUGUGGUGGUUCAGUUGGAACACUAUCGGGAGGUGAUUAGUAAUUUAGUAGUGGGCCGCUAGCUCGACUCUGAAAUCUUGACAACACCUGUUUCCAAAUGCUUUUUGAGCAGCACCUUGAAAUUGUACCAGAAGCCUAGCACUUGUUUAGGUUCAAAUCGCAUAUGCUUUACAAAAUUUACUCCUUAUUUUGUUACAUUUUGUUUCUUUUGGAUCACUUUGAACGCAGUUGGUAUCAUGGUAAUAUAUGUUAGUGAAUCUAGUGAAAUUGUUACACACACAAAGAAAAAUGAAGUAAGGGGUAAGAAAAUUUUUUUGACAGCAAUUUCUGCACAUCUUGGUUGAAACUUGGCACCCGUACUCAUGGUGGAGGAACCAUCUUAGGGCAACCAACCCGCCAUCGACAAAAAUUCUCAAUCAGAGCAGAAGUGAAUUUUGUAAGUGCAGAAGAAGCAAAAGAACUUGUUGCAGUUGAGGGAUAUACAGUCAUUGAUGUCCGGGACAAAUCUCAGUAUGAACGAGCUCAUAUCAAAUCUUGCCAUCAUGUGCCCCUCUUCAUUGAAAACCAAGACAAUGAUUUUGGUAAGCAUUUCUUUCUUGGACAACUCAUUUGUCACAAAUGUGGCGUCAUUUUUAUAUAAUAAUAAUAACCAGAACCGUUCGUUCUUUUUGUCAUCAUCUAAAGAUCAUCUUCAAAUUUUGUAUCUUUUGUAUUAAAUUUGAGCAUUUUAUGAUUUUCAUAACCGAAAUGGAAUUUGAUUUUGUUAAUGAUGAAUUAUGGGCAGGAACAAUCAUAAAGAGGACUCUCCACAACAAUUUUUCUGGUCUCUUCUAUGGAUUGCCUUUUACUAAACCUAACCCUGAAUUUGUAGAGUCAGUUAAAACCAAGUUCUCACCCGAAAGUAAAUUGUUACUGGUGUGUCAGGAAGGGCUGAGGUAAGUUUUUUCAUAUGUUAGCUGCUAUGUUUUUCACCUAGCAACCGUUUGACAAGAUCCUUUUGUUUCCUUUUAAUUUGAAGGUCUGCUGCUGCUGCCAAUAAGUUGGAGCAAGUAGGUUUUGAGAACAUAGCGUGUAUAACAUCAGGUCUUCAAAGCGUAAAACCCGGUUAGGAUUCGAGCUAGCUCCAAUGUCUUUUCGUUCUCUGGAUUAUGAUCUGUUAAAAAGAUUAUUUGGAUCUAAUGCGACCGUUUGCUACACCAGGAGAAUUUGAUUCAGCUGGUUCGACGGAGUUGCAAGAUGCCGGCAAAGCCGGAUUAGUCACUGUUCAGGGAAAGAUCUCAGCUGUGCUUGGAACAGUACUAAUCUGUAAGUCCUUAUGAAUUUGACCUUAAAAGCACUUUUGUUCUGUUGGUCCAUGAGGUGAUAUUUUGAUCUCUGUUCUGAUCAAAUGGCAGGUGCAUAUUUGUUCAUCACCUUCUUUCCCGAUCAAGCAGAGAAGAUACUCGCAAUUUUCGCGGCCAGCUAGCCCGAAUGCGGUGCAUACAUUUAUGAGGAAGUUUUGCAGAUCCCUCCAACCCCAUCAAGAGAUUUGAGUAGGGAGAGAUUUUUGAGGCAUGUGCUGCUCUGCAACAAGCUGUAUAAGGUUCAGAUCAUGAUAAAUUGUCAUACAUAUUCAUCAUUCAACAGGUUUUUGCUGCCUUAUUCAGGUUCCAAACCAGUAAGAUCAUGACGAUAAUCUACACCAAUACACGAUGACGUUCCAACUAUAAAUAAAAUUCAUAUGACGAGCCAUAUCACUAUAGAAUUACAAGCUAUAAACCAAAACCUCGCGAAAGGGAAAGAAACUCGAAGGUUAGAGUCGAGAUCCAAUAUUCUAGACCCACGAAAGAGGAAAAAGGAAAAUUCACAAGGCUGUGAACCUAGGUUGACAAAAUAUUACAGUAAGAUUUUGUUUUCUUUACCCAAAAAAUAUUACAAUGAGAUUAGCAAAUGUAUUCUGAUUCCAUCCUGUGCACCGUGUAUCAAUGCAUAAAUUAUGCAGGGUACCAUACCAUUCCACAGUACUUAGGGUUGAUCCGCAGCUGCCAACGGCACGAUGAGCAUGAUAGGAUUGAAGGAUAAAACAGCCAGCUUCUUUCUGCACCGCUCUUGUUCUACGGCAUUAUGAUGCACAAAAUCAUUCUCCUUGUAGGCAAUAGAGCUGACGGAUGUUUCCAGAAGCUGUCAAAUGGGUUAACUAGAUCAGCUUUUAAACAACAUCCUACUUAUCUACAAUAAAAGCUCAUGAAAUUACAUAUAAUGGUAUGUAUUUGGCACAAUUUCAACUCAAUAAUAUGCAUUAUGGUUCAAAUAAAGCCACAUAAAAGAGGGUAUUAAAAAAUAGUAUACUAUUCAGAACGUUAAACAGCAGUAUAUGUCGCUUGAAAAUGCAGUUUCAAAAUACAGGAUAUGCCAACUAACUUUGUUGUGCAAAGUGCUGAUGAUGUUCCAAGAAAUACAAUGUUCUAGCACGUGUGUGUCAACGUGUGGAAACUAUUGUAAUAAUGAACAUUACCAUAUAACCAGUCUUUAAAAUAUACGUGGAGAGCAGUUGAUAAUUCCCGCUUUCUAUUUUCUUCAAGAGGUGCUUCCCUCAAUAAUUGCUUUACCUCCCCAAGAUUGUUCUGCAGGAGAAAAGGUUAAACAUAAUUAAAACAUAAAUAACAUUGACCACCUCAAUCAAACAUCAAGGAAUUCUUAGUAAAACAGUAAGAAAAUAUCUAAUGACUAAACCCAAAUAUAAAAAUAAAAAUCUACACUAGUGUUAAGCCGGAGUAAGCAUACGUUUCUCUGCUGGGAAACCAUGUAAGCAUCUGGUAAUGGAAAUGGGUUGUCUUUUGUGGAGCCCUGCGAUUCACCUCCAUACCAGUUUGGAAUCUGAAUAUAAAAGAGACAUAUAGGAUGUAACUAGAUAAUUCAGAAAGAAAAUGAGUAAUUGUACAACCAUUGCCAUCUCAACCACCCUAAGCCAACCAAAUGAAGAAACAUACUCAUAAAUACAAUUGUAAUGCCCCUAAUGUGCGUGACUUUGUCCGAAGACUCUGUUGGUAGAGCUUUUCUCUAUUUAAUUUCCAAUGAAAAACUAUUAUUUCAGAAAACUAAGGAAACCCCUUUAAUACAGUAUAAAAUCUAAAUUAAAAGCUUGUAAAGAUUAUAAUACCAAGAAAUUUGUGAACUGGUCGGCGUCUAAGUGUGCAGCAGACUCAGCCUGAGCCUCAGAGACACCUGCUGGAUGAGAUAAUGAAUCAUGUGGGUCAACCACUCCAAGUGGCAGGGGCUCAUCCCAUCUGUUGAUAGUAGCAUCAACCCCAACUUCCUUCAUGUGCUCCUCCAACUGACUGUAAAAUGUAUUGUAUGGUGCCACCUGAUAAAAGCCGAGGUGAAAACAAAGAUCAGAGCAUGUUAAAUCUUCAUUAGAACUUGAAAACUAAAACACACAAAACUAUGAUCAUAACAAUAUAUAAUACUUAUUAUGAUCGAAGAAAUCAAUGCUACAUUUCAGUAAAAAAAAUUCAAUUUUGUCUACUCUUAUAGUCAUAUUGUAUUCGAUUUGACGCCAAAGGUUCAACAUAACAAAAGCAUGCAUGCAAACCACUAUUCAAAAAUAAAAAAUAGCAACUACAUGCGUCAAGGCUGUCAGCAAAGAUCAUUUUAAAAGGAUGUGCGCCUGUGUGUAGCAAGGGCAUCUUGACUAUAACUUGGUAAGUUCCACAUUUUUUUUUUCCAACUGAACAAAUUGAAGAGUACAGGAAACCCUAGAUGCUUGAAUGUUAGACAGAUCAAGAGCUACAAUAUCUGGGGACAUGCUAUCAAAUGUAGAAUGGAAAGAAAGUUCCCUUCUCUUGAUAUGAAUCACAAUAGAACCAGAAGAGUGGCCAAUAACAUGUCAAUGAAACAUAUUGUUAAAGUUGGAUGCAUAUAUGACAUUACCGAAAAAAGUCAUGGAGAUUUACAAAAAACCAAACAGGUUAAACCAAUAUACGAGCAAACCCACAUUAAGAUUAGUUGUAACAAAACGAAUCCACAUUAAUAUAAGUUGCAGAAAAAACAGAAAUUGGGGGAACUCAAUCAAAUGUAGAUUAAAAAAGGUCGUACCCAGUGCACAAGGCUCCCGCUUUACGCAGGGUAGUGUGAAAAUUAAACUGCAUGAGUACUGGCUAGAAACACAAUUGUGCAAUCAAUUAGGGCAAGAUUCACCUGCAGCUUAUGGUUAUCACCAACAAUAAGUGGUCGCUGGUUGACACCAAGGAAAAACAUGCAUUCGCGGCAGUUAGCAAUGCAGAUUCGAUUUGCUGCUGUAAUCACAUGAACUCGCUCACAGUGUUCGAUUCUAACAGCCUGUAAGAGACAUUAGACAUCUAAGCUAUAAGAUUCAAGUUAACCAGGUGACACAACUACCGAUGUUCAUUGCAUACAAAACAGUAAUUAGUUGGCCACUUCACAUGACAAUAUACAGACAUUGGACUAAUUCAAAUGUUCACUAAAGGGCAAAACAUCAGGCCUAAUUAGACGUAACAAAAGUUAUUACAUUUGAUUAACCAAACCAUUAUGUAAAAUCUGUAACUUAAAAAACAAGUUGUGCAAGAACUUUGAUAAAGCUUUGCAUAACCACCACAUAAGAAGCAUAUAGGUAAUUCACAGGAACACCAGUCAACUCAUCAUUUCACAAACAAAGAUCAAGAGUAAUUAUCUGUAGUUGUUAGAGAGUGAUUCAACCCAUUAUACAUUCUACCAGACAAACAAAAUUCAAAAGCCUUCUUUUUCAUUGUGUUAUAAACUUGCAUGAUCAUUUCAUUGACUUUCAGAAGUCAACUGCAAACUUUGUAUUUGUGAUAGGAAAGGGUAAAAAUGAGUGCCAAAAGAAAGUGACUUGGCAGGCAUAAGCUUAGUGGGAAUGAAAUGCAACAUGACUACUUGCAAAGUCGAACUGAAGUUAUCAGUUAGUAGCAUUACCGCAAUACAUCAAGUAACCAAAUUCUACCAUCUUAUCUGAUACCAAAUUUUUAAAGAUGAAGGAUAAACAAAUCCACAGAUCUUUACAGACCACAAGUCAAUCAUUCUGAUAUGUUUAAAUUUACUAGAGAUAGAAAAGUAUUUCCAAUUCUACUAUCAACAUCAGUACCACAGGUAUAACCUUUUCAGUAUCCAACUAUAUAUUAGGGAAUAAUUACAGAUAUCACAGCAACAGUCAAUAUCCAAAGCAUAAAUACAAAUGUCUUUCCUAUUACCUUUCCAACAGCUCCAAGAACAAUUGUAGCAUCAGAGCAUCCAUAAACUGUGGCAUAUCUCAGAGGUGCUAAUAUGUAGAUAACUGAAUCGUGGCAAUUUAAAACCUGAAAUUGCAAACAAGUUACUACCAAGCCAAUAUACCUCUUAGAAGAAACACUCCUAUUUUAGUUCACCGCUUUUAUGCACAAAGCAUGUAAAGGAACAUGUUGAGAAAAGAUAACAAUAAAGCUGACAACUUGACAAAUUGAUUAACCAAGUGCAUUAUUAAGUUCAAUGAUCUUUAUAAUUAAGAUUAGGAUUAAACUGAAUGAGCAGCUACCUCCCUUCCUUAAAUGCAUAAUGGCAGGACUCAGCAAACUCCAAACUUAAAAUAAAUACAUAAAUAAAUAAAAGUGAAAAAUGCAUCGAUGGAACAGUUAGCCAAUUUGGAAACCAAAAUAUAGCAUAGCAAAACCUUCAAUCGAUCACACAUAUAACACAACAGGUGCAUUCCCACAGCCCCAAGAGUGAAUCCCCAAUGUGGCAUGCAAUAAGUUAUUAGAAGCUCAAAGACAUAAUGACUUGAUUCUUGUGUCUUAUUAAUAAUUGGGUUCUCCUCAUUUCCUUCUUUCUGGUUCUAGCUCCUGAACUUCUAGAAGCGUUAAAAUAUGAAACAUCCCGUAAAUGUAGAACAGACAUCAGAGGAAAAAAGAAUAGAUUUUACAUUUUUAUAAACUACUUACAAGAAACCAUAAAAAUAUGUCUUAUCAUUCAUGAACCAACCUUUACAGAAGAACCUUUAAGAUCAGAUGUUCGCUUUACAAGUGAUGACUUGGAGAUCCCCUCAAUAAAACUUGGGCCUCUGACACUUGAUGAGCCCUUGUUUGAACUCGUGCAGGCAUCAGCCAUAGGAACAUCUUGGUCUGAGGAACUGGGUGGCCCGUUUUCUUUUGGAGAAAUCCUUUCCGAAAUAUGUUCCAAAGAUGAGACCAUAUUCUCUAGAACCCAAUCGUGAACUUGCGCUGCAGGAACAGGAACAGCAGGCAUAUCAGGAUCUGAAUUUGCAAAAAAAGGAGCGUGUUGGCUGAAUUGAUUUCCUUCAGAUCCUUUGUCACCAAAGUGAAGCAGAAACCCAAGGUGCUCAAAUUUCUCCAUGGUCAAAACCUAUAAAGGGUUAAAUCAGAUCAUUAAGUGGGCUUGGGAGAUACCAACAAAAAAGAUACAACUACAAACUCCAUAACAUAAAAUAAAAAUAAGAAAUCAGCACCGGUUGUCCAUGAUAAAAAUACAAGGAGACAUUAGUUAUUGUGGCCAACUUAUUGUCAUCCAGAUUAACUGUUCUGCCAGUACCUUCUUUAUCAACUGCAAUGGCCACCAAAAGAAGAGGAAAUGUCUAUCCUUCCUUUUGCGACUUUAAGACGCAGCAACAUGCUAACCAUGUGUUGGAUUUACUGAACUGCAUUUCCAUUCCAUUAAAUCUGUCCUACUUUACGUCUUUUUAGAUUAAUAAUAAUCAAACUUCAGUAUGUUUCAUGCAAUUGGAAUGUAGAAUGUAUGGUUCAUGGUUCACACUUCAAACAUCCCAUAAAGAAAUCACUUCCCACAAAUACAAAUGUUCAUAAGUGAUGAUAAUUGGUGUUGCACUUAUGACCGAACCAAAGCAUGAAUUAAGGAUUUGGGUGGUGCUCACAGUACGAAUGGUGUUUUUCAAUCAAAUUGGAGAAAAGUACCAGCAACUAUUAUCUUUAAUACAAUUUACUUUUUGGUAGCCAAAAAGGUGAAUAAUUGACUCAACCAACAAAGAUUUAAUAAUUUCACAUACCAGAGAUUCUUCUCCUUCCCCCUCCACAGAUUCUGCUAAUAAAGAGACAAGGUUGGCCAAAUGCUUUUUCAAAUAUGAUAACUGAUGUGCCUCUUCAUCAGCCUGUGAUGGCAUAAACCGACGGCUAUUGCUACGCACAAGCUGUCAUGUGUUGGAAUUCCAAGGUUGAUAUAAGUUUAAUCCAACAAAAUAAAUGUCUCAAAUCAAAGUUCCGAGCAAUUAAAUAUAAAAAAACGAAAAGUUUCAGGACACAAAUGUUGCAAGUUAAAUAGUAUUGCCCAAAUUCUGAUACUGAAAAAUGUUGUACUAUGUACUACAAAAAUUCAUCCAAGUGUAAUCAACUCAACAAAACCCUUGCUCUAAAAGUUUAUAAUCAACCUCGUGAUUACCAUUUCGCAACACAAAGAGUACAUAAAGCUAAUUAAACCGGGGUGGACACAAUGUAGCACUGUCAUUCCAAAUGAAUCUAAACAUACACAUCCUGGAAGAUAAAACUAGGUGGUCCGCUCACUACAAGCCAAGAUUAGGUACUUGAGCAUUUUACGUUUAGUGCAAUUCAAUCCAACAAUGUAGCAGACAAUGCAACGAAUUGUUACAACCCCCACCCCAAGCACGCAAUUGAUCAAAACUCCAACCAAAACACAAUGAGAAGUAAGAUUAGUCAAAUACUAACCACAAUAAGUUCAAUAAUGGAUAGAUCAAAUGGAAAUAUAUUCCAUUUCAAUCCACAUUGUAUUCCAAUACUAACGAACACACACAAAGUCAAACAAUUGACCUGAAUAAUCCCAUUUUCUACAUUGCAGCAAUCUCAUGUCAAGAAAACCAGCGUCUUGAAUAAAAUUGCCAACCUUUUCAACUUAAUUAACCGAAAUCUAACCAAAACCAACCGGCAACCAAAUUAAUUAAUCGCGGCAAACUCCAUUUCUAAUCCACACGCAUUGCACAAUGCACCACCAAUUAACUAAAGAAAGAAAACAAAGAUCAAUUAAGGGACAGCUUCUCACCUGCAAUGGCGACAAAGCGGACAGAUACCCAUCGAAAGCCGACGUCGAAGGCCAGACAUCGGCGACGGCAGCCGAGUCCUUGUGCGUCCGCGGCAGCAACUUCUUAUACGACUGAAUGUAGAGGAACAGAACCAGAUCAUGCACAUCGGCUCCAGCCUCGUCAAUCCCAUCUGGCUUGGCUUUCACGAGCGGGUCGGACUCCGAGUGCAGAACCGACGCUAGGGUAUCGAGGACGAGCUUCGCCUGAUCAAUGGAGAUCUGGAGAGCCUCGGAGAUCGCGGCCGAGUCGACCCGGUGACUGGGCGACUUCUCGAUCAGCUUCUGCUUCAGCGGAAUCAGGGUUUGGGUCGGGUCGGUGAAGAUUAGCUUGGGGAUGGGCAGCAGCCCGUGCUCGAACGGCUCGCGGCGCGGGUGAAUCAGGAGGGCCGGGUCCUUGGCCGAAGACGACGUCGUUGCGGGCUCAAUUGGGUCGCUCAUGGCUUCUUUUCUCAGGAGGCAGCAAAACGCAGAGUUUUUGUGUAGACAGAGAGAUUUGUGAGUUGCAGAUCUUCCAGAAAUGAAUAACGAGAGAGAGGUUGAGGAGAGAGUGAGGGAAUGAUCCGGUGCGAUUCGGUGCACGGAAGGUGAACCGCGUGGAUGUGUUAAUUGGGAGUUGGGUUGCAAUCAUCAGUACGUAUUUUUCAAAAACAAAAAAAAUCAGCUGCUAGUUUUGUCGCGGCAGUUCAUUCUAUCAGGUUGAAAAAAUUCAUAUAGGUAUUUUAGCCUUCUUUUGAUUAAUAAUGUGUGAUUUAUCAGUACUAAAAAAUCAAACUCAAAAUAUACCGUGUAAAUACAUCUUGAAAUUCAUACUUAACUACUGAAUCACCCUCUGACUAUCAUCAUUACGUUGAAUUGUGGCUAAUUCCAAGAGGUUAGUGGAGAAGAAGUGGAUUAAAGAGGGGGCCGUGGCCCGUAAUGCAUCGGACAUGUGUAUGACCAUUUUAAAUGACAUCAACUAAAUUAUCGACAGCUAUGAUUUUCUUUAAUCUUUUGACCAUAAAGUUGCAAGGAUUUCAAACGUCUUAAUGUAUUAAAAAUGUCCCUCUCUAAUUUCGUUAAAUCUAAAAUUGCCCUCUUAGACCAUCUCCAACCCUGGGUUAAAAGCCAAAUUACCCCCCAAAUUACUCUCCCAAACACUCUCCAACCCAUGCUAAAAUUUUAGGCUAAAUGCCAAAUGCUAUUUCUGGGCCAAAUACCCCUCAACUUUCCCCCCGGGCUAAAUGCGAAAUGUUUAUCGGAAUUUAAAUUUUUUUAGAUCAAAAUGUUCAUAAAAUUAAUUUACAAUAAUCUACAUAUUUAUUUUUUUUUUUUAAAUUGAUUUAAGAAAAAAAUUUAGGCUAAUUUCAUUAUUUAAUAAUUCCGGGCUAAAAUUUUAAGGUAGAAGGGUUGGAGCAGAAAAGAUGUUUCUGGGCUAAAAGCUAAAUUUUCCGGGCUAAAAAAUUUGGCUUUUAGCCCAAGGGUUGGAGAUGGUCUUAAUGAAACCAGAAAAAACAUUAAAAUUACGAAGGUGAAGUGUUGAUUUAGUUUUUGAAUUAUCAUCUCAGUGAAAAUUAAGUUCCUGAAUUAUUUUUUCGGUAAAAUAAGUCCCUAAAUUCAUUAAAAAUUACUAAUUUCAUCCCUACAAUUAUAUUCAAAGCUAUUUUAUCUAGUUUUUCUUCAACUUAAGUCACUAGACAUACUUUAGAACGUAAUACCAUAAUUUUCUCUCCUAUAAGACCUUAACAUUACA